UGCUGUAUAGCUCACUCGGUAAAGCAUCGCGUUGUGAAGCUGAAGUGACUAUCACGUCGCGGGUUCGAGCCCCGCUUCAUAC